CAGUCGCCGCGGGAAUACGAAGGGGGCUAGCGUUGCUCGGAAUUACUGGGCGUAAAGGGAGCGUAGGCGGACAUUUAAGUCAGGGGUGAAAUCCCAGAGCUCAACUCUGGAACUGCCUUUGAUACUGGGUGUCUUGAGUGUGAUAGAGGUAUGUGGAACUCCGAGUGUAGAGGUGAAAUUCGUAGAUAUUCGGAAGAACACCAGUGGCGAAGGCGACAUACUGGAUCAUUACUGACGCUGAGGCUCGAAAGCGUGGGGAGCAAACAGGAUUAGAUACCCGUGUAGUCCCUGUCUCUUAUAC
rnacentral:rRNA from 1 species